rnacentral:rRNA from 1 species
UACGAAGGGGGAUAGCGUUGCUCGGAAUCACUGGGCGUAAAGGGUGCGUAGGCGGGUCUUUAAGUCAGGGGUGAAAUCCUGGAGCUCAACUCCAGAACUGCCUUUGAUACUGAGGAUCUUGAGUACGGGAGAGGUGAGUGGAACUGCGAGUGUAGAGGUGAAAUUCGUAGAUAUUCGCAAGAACACCAGUGGCGAAGGCGGCUCACUGGCCCGUAACUGACGCUGAGGCACGAAAGCGUGGGGAGCAAACAGG